GGUGAUGGAUUUNNCUNAAUGCGACGGCGUAUGAGUGGUAAUUGGGUUGUAUUCGACGGCAGGCUCCGUGCUUCGGCAUCGAACUGUCGGCUCGUACCCCGCUUCAUUGAUGCAUCAAGAUUCGUCUUGUGCGCAAGAUGGGUUUCUGUUUUGGCUACCUAUUGUGAAGGAAUGCUGCCUCUCGUCGUCCCUUUCCUCCUCUCGCUGGCCUUACCGGCGGGAGGACGACAUUGUAGCGAUACUCGUGUCCCGGACGAGCCACACUCGUUGUGGUGCAGUUUCGGUACUCGAGUUUUUGCUCGACAUCUCGGGUGCGGAACACUGNAAGGGGCGGUGGGUCUUUACGGCCUCCGAUCGUCCAAUCGAAGCCUUGUCGCUUGACGUGCACGACUGUCGCGCCCGUUGCGAGUCGUCGACCGCCAAGGUCGUC
rnacentral:misc_RNA from 1 species